UACAUUUGUGUGUCUCUUAUUCAUCUCAGGAUAUCCCCAAGACACCUGGAUCGACUUUUUGAGAAAGUUUUGUGGUGGAAUGUGUGAAGCCACACCGUUGAUGGACUAUAAAGACAGACAGUAAAGAAUCCAGUGUUUUAGGAUGCUGGUGGUCUUCCUGGUGGGGAACUGAUGACCACAAAAAUGGGGUUUGAAGGCUCUCAGGACAUGCCUCCAUGUCUGUUACAUUGAGACAAAUGACCAAGAAGAGAGAAACUGUUGGAGAUGUUUUCAAUGAAAUAUAAAAUGAAAGAAAACAACAGGCACACACUGCACAAAGUAACUUGCAUUCAAUCAGAUGAAGUACAGAGCUACACAAGUAUUAGGACAGUGACACAUUUUUUGUUGUUUUGGCUCUGUACGCCAGCACUUUGGAUUUUAAAUUAUACAAGGACUAUAAAGUUAAAGGGCAGACUGUCAGCUUACAUUUGAGGAUAUUCCCAUCCGUAUGGGGUGAACUGUUUAGACAUUACAGCACUUUUUCUACAUCAUUCCCCCAUUUUAGGGGAGCAAAUGUAUUGGGACAAAUUCACUUAUGUGUAUUAAAGAAGUCAAAAGUGUAGU